CCAAAACAUUUUGACGGCCAAAUCUCUCAUCAGAGGAACUCGUCCAUUAAUUGUCACCACCCACUCAUUUUCACUUUAUCCAACAACCUUUAUACCGCCGUUAAUAUUGCCUUUGCGAAAACUCAAUAACAAAGACUUUCUCUAAAUCUUCAGGUCAAGGUGAAGUCAACGAUAAAGGUCGGAUAAGUUACAUUUAAAAAUUAUUUAAAGAAAGCUUUUCCAAAAAAAAUCUAGAAACAGGAUUUGAUAGUAUUUCAUUCGACAAUAAAAAUAAUUGAUGAAACUAAACCAAUGGUGUACAUAUCGCCGUCACCCUCGUUCAAAAAUGAGGCAAGUCGUAACAUAGUUGAAAUAUUGGAAAAUGUUUCAAGAGAAAGACAUUAAGCUAACGAUAGCAUUUCACUUCACUGAAAU
rnacentral:rRNA from 1 species